rnacentral:rRNA from 1 species
AGCGGCGGAUGGGUGAGUAACACGUGGGGAACCUGCCCCUAAGUCUGGGAUACCAUUUGGAAACAGGUGCUAAUACCGGAUAAUAAAGCAGAUCGCAUGAUCAGCUUUUGAAAGGCGGCGUAAGCUGUCGCUAAGGGAUGGCCCCGCGGUGCAUUAGCUAGUUGGUAAGGUAACGGCUUACCAAGGCGACGAUGCAUAGCCGAGUUGAGAGACUGAUCGGCCACAUUGGGACUGAGACACGGCCCGAACUCCUACGGGAGGCAGCAGUAGGGAAUCUUCCACAAUGGACGCAAGUCUGAUGGAGCAACGCCGCGUGAGUGAAGAAGGUUUUCGGAUCGUAAAGCUCUGUUGUUGGUGAAGAAGGAUAGAGGUAGUAACUGGCCUUUAUUUGACGGUAAUCAACCAGAAAGUCACGGCUAACUACGUGCCAGCAGCCGCGGUAAUACGUAGGUGGCAAGCGUUGUCCGGAUUUAUUGGGCGUAAGGCGAGCGCAGGCGGAAAAAUAAGUCUAAUGUGAAAGCCCUCGGCUUAACCGAGGAACUGCAUCGGAAACUGUUUUUCUUGAGUGCAGAAGAGGAGAGUGGAACUCCAUGUGUAGCGGUGGAUUGCGUAGAUAUAUGGAAGAACACCAGUGGCGAAGGCGGCUCUCUGGUCUGCAACUGACGCUGAGGCUAGAAAGCAUGGGUAGCGAACAGGAUUAGAUACCCUGGUAGUCCAUGCCGUAAACGAUGAGUGCUAAGUGU